UUGAACGCUGGCGGCAGGCCUAACACAUGCAAGUCGAACGGUAACAGGAAGCAGCUUGCUGCUUCGCUGACGAGUGGCGGCCGGGUGAGUAAUGUCUGGGAAGCUGCCUGAUGGAGGGGGAUAACUACUGUAAACGGUAGCUAAUACCGCAUAAUGUCGCAAGACCAAAGAGGGGGACCUUCGGGCCUCUUGCCAUCGGAUGUUCCCAGAUGGGAUUAGCUUGUUGGUGGGGUAACGGCUCACCAAGGCGACGAUCCCUAGCUGGUCUGAGAGGAUGACCAGACACACUGGGACUGAGACACGGUCCAGACUCCUACGGGAGGCAGCAGUGGGGAAUAUUGCACAAUGGGCGCAAGCCUGAUGCAGCCAUGCCGCGUGUAUGAAGAAGGCCUUCGGGUUGUAAAGUACUUUCAGCGGGGAGGAAGGGAGUAAAGUUAAUACCUGUGCUCAUUGACGUUACCCGAAGAAGAAGCACCGGCUAACUCCGUG
rnacentral:rRNA from 1 species